CCCCGGGGCUGCGCAACUCCGAGCGCCCGCUCGCUUUGAGAUUGCGCAAUGGGGCUGUGGUGUAUUUUGUUAUCAGGUCGCUAUCCCACAGCUCUGGGAUUCAGUACAAUAUACCAAAGGCAAUCUCUUCUGGGAGAAAUAAAGGCCUUCUCCUUUAUCUCUAAGCAGAGAGGUCGCAAGCAAGGAAGGGAAGGUAAUACUAGGCAUAUAUUCAACCCUGACUGCUCAUUGGAAGGAUUGAUAAUGAAGCUCAAGCUCGGAG